UACGGGGGGGGUAAGCGUUGUUCGGAAUUACUGGGCGUAAAGGGCUCGUAGGCGGCCAACUAAGUCAGACGUGAAAUCCCUCAGCUUAACUGGGGAACUGCGUCUGAUACUGGAUGGCUUGGAUUCGGGAGAGGAAUGCGGAAUUCCAGGUGUAGCGGUGAAAUGCGUAGAUAUCUGGAGGAACACCGGUGGCGAAGGCGGCAUCCUGGACCAAUAUUGACGCUGAGGAGCGAAAGCCAGGGGAGCAAAGCGGG
rnacentral:rRNA from 1 species